UGNAAGUCGAGGGGUAGAGGAAGCUUGCUUCCUUGAGACCGGCGCACGGGUGCGUAACGCGUAUGCAAUCUACCUUUUACAGAGGGAUAGCCCAGAGAAAUUUGGAUUAAUACCUCAUAGUAUAUAUUAUUCGCAUGUUUGAUAUAUUAAAGUUCCAACGGUAAAAGAUGAGCAUGCGUCCCAUUAGUUAGUUGGUAAGGUAACGGCUUACCAAGACGAUGAUGGGUAGGGGUCCUGAGAGGGAGAUCCCCCACACUGGUACUGAGACACGGACCAGACUCCUACGGGAGGCAGCAGUGAGGAAUAUUGGUCAAUGGACGCAAGUCUGAACCAGCCAUGCCGCGUGUAGGAAGACGGUCCUAUGGAUUGUAAACUGCUUUUGUACGGGAAGAAACCCUCCGACGAGUCGGAGCUUGACGGUACCGUAAGAAUAAGCAUCGGCUAACUCCGUGCCAGCAGCCGCGGUAAUACGGAGGAUGCGAGCGUUAUCCGGAAUCAUUGGGUUUAAAGGGUCCGUAGGCGGUUUAAUAAGUCAGUGGUGAAAUCUGGUCGCUCAACGAUCAAACUGCCAUUGAUACUGUUAGACUUGAAUUACUGUGAAGUAACUAGAAUAUGUAGUGUAGCGGUGAAAUGCUUAGAUAUUACAUGGAAUACCAAUUGCGAAGGCAGGUUACUAACAGUUGAUUGACGCUGAUGGACGAGAGCGUGGGGAGCGAACAGGAUUAGAUACCCUGGUAGUCCACGCCGUAAACGAUGGAUACUAGUUGUUUGGAUUUAUCUGAGUGACUAAGCGAAAGUGAUAAGUAUCCCACCUGGGGAGUACGAACGCAAGUUUGAAACUCAAAGGAAUUGACGGGGGCCCGCACAAGCGGUGGAGCAUGUGGUUUAAUUCGAUGAUACGCGAGGAACCUUACCUAGGCUUAAAUGGGAGACGACGUAUUUGGAAACAGAUAUUUCUUCGGACGUCUUUCAAGGUGCUGCAUGG
rnacentral:rRNA from 1 species